CCUCUCAAAUUAACGCUCAUGUACAAGCCCCUGUCCGACCGCAUUACUAUCCGCCAUGAUCGGAGCCAAGCCGGCCGUCCCUAGCGUUCUCCUUAUGUCAAUCAAAUGUAACCUUAAUUCUUCAUAUUGUUUGUUUUAUUGGUCGAUCGCUGCGUCGUGGUUGUGUCUCGUGGAGCUGUAGUAUCAUCAUGUAAUAGUGUUUGCUUCUUAUUCUAGUCCAUUGUGUGUAUCACCUAUGUAUGAUCACGUCUCCUUCUGUUCUUGGUCUGUCAAAGUGUUAUUCGAUUGAUGGCCGGCUUAAUCGACGAGUGUUUUGUUAAUUAUGAGUUCAUAUAAUCUCGGCGUGGAAAUCUCGGCGUGGGCUGAGAGACUUAAGUUAGAUGACAGACAUGUAAUCUCGGCGUGGAAAUCUCUCUUCUCCUUUUCUAUCCGCUCCCUCGAUAUAUAAUUGGACUCUCUGUACUUUCUUUGCUAUUAAUGGAUUCAGGUGGGGAAGCUCUCCCCCCCGGGUGAAUUUUCAAAAAAAUUAUGAGUUCAUAUCUCCCAAUUUGAAGUAUGGUGAUUCAAAGGGGAGCUAUGCAGUACUAGUUUUUGGCUUAAUUACAUUUAGGGAAGAGUGGAUUUGGAGUACUCCAUGCAUAUCGGCGCCGCUCGCCGUCGCCGCCGACGCUGAAUAGUUCUGGAAGUUUGCCUUGUCGGCCGUCGUGUCCUUCUGGUGCUAAAAGCCCAUCUUUUUCUCCUUUUUUUUUUCUUUUCCUUUUUUUUUGGGGGGCAACUGUUAGAAGAGAGGGAAGGGUGGGCCAUAUUAAGUGGGGCCCACAUGCCGUAUCAUAUCCAUGACCUUUGUCCUUGCGUUGCCGGCGGCGGCGGCGGCGGCGGCUACGGUGGCCAUGGAGAUCUCACGCGACCAUUUGCCGGUGAGGUCGGCUGCUCCGCCUCCGCCUCCGCAUCUACGCCUGAUUGAUCCCCACCCCUAUCUCCACUGACUGUGCUAUCGCGUUUCCGGCGGUGGUUGAUCGAGGCGGUAGCCCGUGCGGCGCGCGAGAUUCCGCCCGUCCACGGAUUUCCGGUCGCCAUCGCCGGGGUUCGUCUUCUCCGGCCAGCCCCUCGCCGCGCGAACCUGCGCCGGCCGACCUCGGCCAGGAUCUGGUCGGGAUCGCUUGUGGAAUAUCAGGUGCCUUUAAAGUGCAAGUAUAAUGGAAAGAGUUGGGGGAUGUUGAGUUGUAAGAAGACCAGAUGCAUCAGCUCUGAUUUAGUGAUUUUAGAGGCAUGUAUAACCUGUCAAAGAGCAGCAAAAGAAAUGCGUCAUAGCUGUGUGAUACAUAACUUUGCCAGGAGAUCUCUCUAUUUAAGCACACAGACUGCUAUGGCAUUGUUAAACAUUUGCUCAGUUUCUCUUAAAUGCAUUUCUGCUGGCAUAAGAUGGUAGCAUGGUGGAGGUUCUGUUGUUAAACCCUGGUAUCAGGACUUGAUCAAGCAGUUUGGUACGUUCGGUGAAAAUUCAUGCACAUUUGAGCGAUCGUACAGUAGUCUGAAGUUGGUGUUUUCUAUCCUCCGGUAAUUAUGGAUCACUGGUAUAACGAGGAAUCAACCUAACGUAUAAUUGCCAUGGUCUGUAUUUUUGUAUAUGUGGAGACUGGUGUGUGUACUAAUUUUCUGGAAUGUCAUGUAAUCAGAAGAGUUGUUUAGAAGAGGCAUAGGCAAAUUCUCUUGUAAGGCUUUUGUAGUUCCUUGAUAGUUUAACAUGGUUAUAACAGUAGUGUUUUCUAUGACGACAUUUAUGAUUAAACUGUGUCUACAAUUCCUGUCUUUUGUGCAGAAAAAAAAAAAGCACUGAUAAAACACCCUAGAGUUGAAUGCAUUGCGCU